GGUUGGAUGGAUGGAUGGACAGAUGGAUGGAGGGAGGGAAGGAUGGAUAGAUGGAUGGAGCCUACAUACAGUGCUCAGCCCCUACUGCCGUUGAGCAGCGAGCAGCCCCCCCCCCCCCCCCCCGAGUCCUGUAACAACCCGGGGCACCUGGGGCUGCUGCUCCAUUGAAAGCCAGGUGCAGAAGUGCUCUGCUUUGCCUCCCCAGCAGCUCCUGGUCUCGCUGCAGGCUGUGCUGUGCACCCAUGCUCUGUGCCAGCCCUUGCUCCUAUACCAAACCUUCUCUCUCAGGUGGAUCUCUGUUAUUUCCUUUUCAUUGGACUGAGGCUGUGGCUGAUCCCAAUCACCUCUGUGAGCUCUGCUCCUCCGGAGGAUGCUGAGGAAACGGCCUUUGCGCUGUUUGGAGCACUCUGGUGAAGGAGCAGCGCCCACUGCUCGAAAGAAGAAGAAUGGGGAAGAUGUCAGUUGAACAAAGCACUGAAAACAGGCAAUGAAAGCAACGCAUACACAAUGUGCUCGUACAGCUGCUACAAGGCAGCACGUGCUUUUAUUGCCGGCCGCCUUAUCUGCAGCAUUAGCAGUCAGGGCAGAUGGAUGCCUGCUGCUAAUGGGCUCUAACACUCCAUCCCUUCAAGACUAAUGGACAGCUUUCAGAAAGCACUUCGCUGCCACCUCCCCUGGCACAGAAUGGGACCGUGGGGUUACAUCCAAGGUGCAGCCCAUCACCUCUGCACAGCAGAGAAGCACUGGGCUCUCCCUGGAGUUGCAGUGUGUAACUCUCACCCCUCCUGCAGUUGCCAUUGCCUUCACCUGCCUGGAAGCUUCAGAAGAACCUCCUUUUUGUUUGUGGGACUCAACCAGCUCUGCAGCUGGAUUCAUUUGCAAGCAGCACUUUAGGAGAUGCAGUCAGCAAUGAGUACAAAAAUAGCACUUAUUUACUCCGUGUGCUUUGCUGACAAACAACUUCUGAAGUCCCCUGGAGAAGAUUCAGCCACAGAACAAUUCCAACACGGAUAAAUCGUCAGCUGAACUCCAACUGCAGCUGAUAGAAUAAAAAAAAAACCCCAGCAGGAUUUCUCCAUUCCAGAUGGCACCUUGAUGUGCUGCCAGAUACGGAGGAGCUCCCAUUUAGCAACACUAACCGUAUUUCUUUAAGCUGAAUAAAAAGAAAUUACAACUCUCAUUCUUAAGGCAGAUUUUGGAGCCAGCAGAACAGGUGAGCACGGCUUCAAAAAGCUGCUGCAGCUCACAGUAAUUGCGGAGGUUUGUUCUCUGCUUUCAAGUACUCAGAGUGGGAUGGCACUCCAGGCAGUUCCAAAUGCUCCUCCUGGUCCAGCUCAGUGCUGUUACAGAAACAAAUGCAGCAUUAGAUGGUUCCAGAGGGGCCCAGAAGGGCUGUGAGCAUAGGGUGAAACUUGCUUGUGCUGUAUGGGGACAGACACUGCACUCUCCUGUCCGUACAUCAUUACAGCAUAAAUGAGAAGAAGUAAUUUGCUGAAUUAAAGGCCAACUCUACAGGGCAAAACAUAGGGGUGAUCUGGUUCUAAUUAAAGAGCUCAGCUGUCUGGCACUCCCACUGACAGAAUGACACCUCACAUCUAUCCCAGCAUCGAAAGGAGAAGAAAGACAACACAUACAUGG
ensembl:lncRNA